UCCGUAGGUGAACCUGCGGAAGGAUCAUUAGUGAAUUGCUCUUUGAGCGUUAACUACAUCCAUCUACACCUGUGAACUGUUGAUCGACUUCGGUUGAUUGCUUUUACAAACAUUGUGUAAUGAACGUCAUGUUAUUAUAACAAAAAAUAACUUUCAACAACGGAUCUCUUGGCUCUCGCAUCGAUGAAGAACGCAGCGAAAUGCGAUAAGUAAUGUGAAUUGCAGAAUUCAGUGAAUCAUCGAAUCUUUGAACGCACCUUGCGCUCUCUGGUAUUCCGGAGAGCAUGCCUGUUUGAGUAUCAUGAAAUCUCAACCAUUAGGGUUUCUUAAUGGCUUGGAUUUGGGCGUUGCCAGUUGCCUGGCUCGCCUUAAAAGAGUUAGCGUGUUUAACUUGUCAUAUCUGGCGCAAUAAGUUUCGCUGGUGUAUGACUUGAUCUUGCGCUUCUAAUCGUCAUCCGACAAUUCUUGAACUAUGGACUCCAGGCCUGAAGACUACCCGCUGAACCACGCAUCUUAAUCAUCUCAAGAA
rnacentral:misc_RNA from 1 species